CAGUCGCCGCGGGAAUACAGAGGGUGCAAGCGUUAAUCGGAAUUAUUGGGCGUAAAGGGUGCGUAGGUGGUCAUUUAAGUCAGAUGUGAAAUCCCAGGGCUUAACCUUGGAAUUGCAUUUGAUACUGGGUGGCUAGAGUACAGAAGAGGGAAGUGGAAUUUCCGGUGUAGCGGUGAAAUGCGUAGAUAUCGGAAGGAACAUCAGUGGCGAAGGCGACUUCCUGGUCUGUAACUGACACUGAGGCACGAAAGCGUGGGGAGCAAACAGGAUUAGAUACCCCUGUAGUCCCUGUCUCUUAUAC
rnacentral:rRNA from 1 species